UCAAACUUGGUCAUUUAGAGGAAGUAAAAGUCGUAACAAGGUUUCCGUAGGUGAACCUGCGGAAGGAUCAUUAUCGAGUUAGGGUCCCCCGGGGCCCGACCUCCCACCCUGUGUCGACCGUACCACGUUGCUUCGGCGGGCCCGUCGCGCACCUGCACGACCGCCGGGGGGUCGCACGACCCUCGGGCCCGCGCCCGCCAGAAGCCCCGUCAAACUCCGAUUCAAUGUGACGUCUGAGUAUACAUUUACAAUGCAAAAGCAAAACUUUCAACAACGGAUCUCUUGGUUCUGGCAUCGAUGAAGAACGCAGC
rnacentral:misc_RNA from 1 species